rnacentral:lncRNA from 1 species
UGAACAUUAUCGAGCUCGUUUGAUACUAAUCAACGACGUCAAUGUAAUAUGUUUACGUAUGAUAUUAAAUUAUCGAAUUGCAAAUUGACCUUUCGAUAGUGACAUACUUAUUUAAAUAUAUACGAACGUGUAUCCACGGUGUCCGUGGAAAUCGGGUGUAUUUCAAUAUCUUCGUAUUGUCCUUACACAAAUACGUGAUCAGUGUUGGUGAUACAGAGAGAUAAUGACGUUGCAAUGGAAGUGACUCGGUCGAGAAGAGAGGAAAAGAGAGCGCAAAAAAAGAAGAAGAAGAAGAAGAAAAAGAAGAAAGAGAAGAAAAAGAAUUAAACGUGUCUCGUUUCGAAUUGUACCAGAGAAUGUUUGAAACCGAGAGAAAGAGACCAUCUUCCGCGUUGUUCGCAAAGCUAGAAAGAUCGUCGAAACACUUGCUUGUCGAAAAAGGAAAACACAACAACAACGACAAAAGGAUAAAAAACAAAAUGACAAAAA